ACUACAACCGCUCUGAAGAGGUUAAAGUAUCUGCAAAGAUCACCUCAUUUUAAGGCGAGUCUGAGUCUAA
rnacentral:sRNA from 1 species